rnacentral:rRNA from 1 species
AUUGAACGCUGGCGGCAGGCUUAACACAUGCAAGUCGAGCGGAGAUGAGGUGCUUGCACCUUAUCUAGCGGCGGACGGGUGAGUAAUGCUUAGGAAUCUGCCUAUUAGUGGGGGACAACAUUCCGAAAGGAAUGCUAAUACCGCAUACGUCCUACGGGAGAAAGCAGGGGAUCUUCGGACCUUGCGCUAAUAGAUGAGCCUAAGUCGGAUUAGCUAGGUGGUGGGGUAAAGGCCUACCAAGGCGACGAUCAGUAGCGGGUCUGAGAGGAUGAUCCGCCACACUGGGACUGAGACACGGCCCAGACUCCUACGGGAGGCAGCAGUGGGGAAUAUUGGACAAUGGGGGAAACCCUGAUCCAGCCAUGCCGCGUGUGUGAAGAAGGCCUUAUGGUUGUAAAGCACUUUAAGCGAGGAGGAGGCUACUGUGACUAAUACUCUUGGAUAGUGGACGUUACUCGCAGAAUAAGCACCGGCUAACUCUGUGCCAGCCGCCGCUGUAAUAC